UUGAUUGGUGCUUGCAUCAUGAUUUACAUUUGAGUGAGUGGCGAACUGGUGAGUAACACGUGGGAAACCUGCCCAGAAGCGGGGGAUAACACCUGGAAACAGAUGCUAAUACCGCAUAACAACUUGGACCGCAUGGUCCGAGUUUGAAAGAUGGCUUCGGCUAUCACUUUUGGAUGGUCCCGCGGCGUAUUAGCUAGAUGGUGGGGUAACGGCUCACCAUGGCAAUGAUACGUAGCCGACCUGAGAGGGUAAUCGGCCACAUUGGGACUGAGACACGGCCCAAACUCCUACGGGAGGCAGCAGUAGGGAAUCUUCCACAAUGGACGAAAGUCUGAUGGAGCAACGCCGCGUGAGUGAAGAAGGGUUUCGGCUCGUAAAACUCUGUUGUUAAAGAAGAACAUAUCUGAGAGUAACUGUUCAGGUAUUGACGGUAUUUAACCAGAAAGCCACGGCUAACUACGUGCCAGCAGCCGCGGUAAUACGUAGGUGGCAAGCGUUGUCCGGAUUUAUUGGGCGUAAAGCGAGCGCAGGCGGUUUUUUAAGUCUGAUGUGAAAGCCUUCGGCUCAACCGAAGAAGUGCAUCGGAAACUGGGAAACUUGAGUGCAGAAGAGGACAGUGGAACUCCAUGUGUAGCGGUGAAAUGCGUAGAUAUAUGGAAGAACACCAGUGGCGAAGGCGGCUGUCUGGUCUGUAACUGACGCUGAGGCUCGAAAGUAUGGGUAGCAAACAGGAUUAGAUACCCUGGUAGUCCAUACCGUAAACGAUGAAUGCUAAGUGUUGGAGGGUUUCCGCCCUUCAGUGCUGCAGCUAACGCAUUAAGCAUUCCGCCUGGGGAGUACGGCCGCAAGGCUGAAACUCAAAGGAAUUGACGGGGGCCCGCACAAGCGGUGGAGCAUGUGGUUUAAUUCGAAGCUACGCGAAGAACCUUACCAGGUCUUGACAUACUAUGCAAAUCUAAGAGAUUAGACGUUCCCUUCGGGGACAUGGAUACAGGUGGUGCAUGGUUGUCGUCAGCUCGUGUCGUGAGAUGUUGGGUUAAGUCCCGCAACGAGCGCAACCCUUAUUAUCAGUUGCCAGCAUUAAGUUGGGCACUCUGGUGAGACUGCCGGUGACAAACCGGAGGAAGGUGGGGAUGACGUCAAAUCAUCAUGCCCCUUAUGACCUGGGCUACACACGUGCUACAAUGGAUGGUACAACGAGUUGCGAACUCGCGAGAGUAAGCUAAUCUCUUAAAGCCAUUCUCAGUUCGGAUUGUAGGCUGCAACUCGCCUACAUGAAGUCGGAAUCGCUAGUAAUCGCGGAUCAGCAUGCCGCGGUGAAUACGUUCCCGGGCCUUGUACACACCGCCCGUCACACCAUGAGAGUUUGUAACACCCAAAGUCGGUGGGGUA
rnacentral:rRNA from 1 species